rnacentral:rRNA from 2 species
GGGGAAUAUUGCACAAUGGAGGAAACUCUGAUGCAGCGACGCCGCGUGAGUGAAGAAGGUCUUCGGAUCGUAAAACUCUGUCCUUGGUGACGAAAAAAUGACGGUAGCCAAGGAGGAAGCCCCGGCUAACUACGUGCCAGCAGCCGCGGUAAUACGUAGGGAGCAAGCGUUGUCCGGAUUUACUGGGUGUAAAGGGUGCGUAGGCGGCCCUGCAAGUCAGGCGUGAAAGGCGGAGGCUUAACCUCCGAGCUGCGUUUGAAACUGUGGGGCUUGAGUGGAGCAGAGGCAGGCGGAAUUCCCGGUGUAGCGGUGAAAUGCGUAGAGAUCGGGAGGAACACCAGUGGCGAAGGCGGCCUGCUGGGCUUUAACUGACGCUGAAGCACGAAAGCAUGGGUAGCAAACA